rnacentral:rRNA from 1 species
AGGGUUUGAUUAUGGCUCAGAACGAACGCUGGCGGCAGGCCUAAUACAUGCAAGUCGAGCGCAUCCUUCGGGAUGAGCGGCGGACGGGUUAGUAACGCGUGGGAACGUGCCCUUCUCUAAGGAAUAGCCUCUGGAAACGGAGAGUAAUACCUUAUACGCCCUUUGGGGGAAAGAUUUAUCGGAGAAGGAUCGGCCCGCGUUAGAUUAGAUAGUUGGUGGGGUAACGGCCUACCAAGUCUACGAUCUAUAGCUGGUUUUAGAGGAUGAUCAGCAACACUGGGACUGAGACACGGCCCAGACUCCUACGGGAGGCAGCAGUAGGGAAUCUUGGACAAUGGGCGAAAGCCUGAUCCAGCCAUGCCGCGUGAGUGAAGAAGGCCUUAGGGUCGUAAAGCUCUUUCGCCUGUGAUGAUAAUGACAGUAGCAGGUAAAGAAACCCCGGCUAACUCCGUGCCAGCAGCCGCGGUAAUACGGAGGGGGUUAGCGUUGUUCGGAAUUACUGGGCGUAAAGCGCGCGUAGGCGGAUUGGAAAGUUGGGGGUGAAAUCCCAGGGCUCAACCCUGGAACUGCCUCCAAAACUCCCAGUCUAGAGUUCGAGAGAGGUGAGUGGAAUUCCAAGUGUAGAGGUGAAAUUCGUAGAUAUUUGGAGGAACACCAGUGGCGAAGGCGGCUCACUGGCUCGAUACUGACGCUGAGGUGCGAAAGUGUGGGGAGCAAACAGGAUUAGAUACCCUGGUAGUCCACACCGUAAACGAUGAAUGCCAGUCGUCGGGUAGUAUACUAUUCGGUGACACACCUAACGGAUUAAGCAUUCCGCCUGGGGAGUACGGUCGCAAGAUUAAAACUCAAAUGAAUUGACGG